rnacentral:tRNA from 1 species
GCGGGAAUGCUGGAAUUGGCAGACAGGCAUGACUAAGGAUCAUGUUUCCGUAGGAAGUGUGGGUUCAAGUCCCAUUUCCCGCA